rnacentral:rRNA from 1 species
UGGGGAAUCUUAGACAAUGGGGGCAACCCUGAUCUAGCCAUGCCGCGUGAGUGAUGAAGGCCUUAGGGUCGUAAAGCUCUUUCGCUGGGGAUGAUAAUGACAGUACCUGGUAAAGAAGCCCCGGCUAACUUCGUGCCAGCAGCCGCGGUAAUACGAAGGGGGCUAGCGUUGUUCGGAAUUACUGGGCGUAAAGCGCACGUAGGCGGACUUUUAAGUCAGAUGUGAAAUCCCGAGGCUCAACCUCGGAACUGCAUUUGAAACUGGGAGUCUAGAGAUCAGGAGAGGUUAGCGGAAUACCGAGUGUAGAGGUGAAAUUCGUAGAUAUUCGGAGGAACACCAGUGGCGAAGGCGGCUCACUGGCUCGAUACUGACGCUGAGGUGCGAAAGUGUGGGGAGCAAACAGG